UACGUAGGGGGCUAGCGUUGUCCGGAUUUAUUGGGCGUAAAGAGCUCGUAGGCGGUUCGGCAAGUCACGUGUGAAAUCUCCACGCUUAACGUGGAGGGGUCACGUGAGACUGCUGUGACUAGAGUCCGGUAGGGGAGUGUGGAAUUCCCGGUGUAGCGGUGAAAUGCGCAGAGAUCGGGAGGAACACCCGUAGCGAAGGCGGCACUCUGGGCCGGUACUGACGCUGAGGAGCGAAAGCGUGGGGAGCAAACAGG
rnacentral:rRNA from 1 species